rnacentral:rRNA from 1 species
UCAUGUCAUAAAAUUGGCCGGCUACUACAAAUAACAAUUUAAAAUCUAAAGAACUUGGCGGUGUCUUAUCACACCAGGGGAACCUGUUCCUUAAUUCGAUAAUCCACGAAAUCACUACCACUAAUUGAAAAAGCAGUUUGUGUACUGCCGUCAUCAGCAUACCUUAAAAAGUUACAGUAUGCAAUAUUAGGAAACCUAAAUAUUUCAGGUCAUAGUACAGCCUACUUAGUGGGGGAAAUGGGUUACAAUCACAAAAUAGAUACCAAAUCACGAACUAAAGUUCUGCAAAAAGGUGGACUUGGUAGUAAUGAAAAACAAUAAAUUUUCAUGAAAAAAGAUCUAAGACAUGCACACUCGCCCKYCWCUCCCSUCUAAAGAGG